AUCAGGUGUGCAUGUGCCUAUAGUCCCAGCUACUGGGGAGGGCGAGGUGGGAAGACCAUCUGAGCCCAGGAGUUCUGGGCUUUAGUGCACUAUGCUAAUUGGGUGUCCACACUAAAUUUGGCAUCAACGUGGUGACCUCCCAGGAGUGAGGAAUCACUAGUUUGCCUAAGGAGGGGUGAACUGGCCCAGAUCAGAAAUGAAGCACUUCCGUGCUGGUGAGGGAUCAUGCCUGUGAAUAGCCAUUGCACUGCAGCCUGGGCAACAAGAGUGAAACUCCGUCUAA
ensembl:misc_RNA Metazoa_SRP Metazoan signal recognition particle RNA